rnacentral:rRNA from 1 species
UACAGAGGUCUCAAGCGUUGUUCGGAUUCAUUGGGUGUAAAGGGUGCGUAGGUGGCGCCGUAAGUCAGGUGUGAAAUUUCGGAGCUUAACUCCGAAACUGCAUUUGAUACUGCGGUGCUUGAGGACUGGAGAGGAGACUGGAAUUUACGGUGUAGCAGUGAAAUGCGUAGAGAUCGUAAGGAAGACCAGUGGCGAAGGCGGGUCUCUGGACAGUUCCUGACAUUGAGGCACGAAGGUCAGGGGAGCAAACAGG